rnacentral:lncRNA from 1 species
AAUUACUAUUAUAAUAAAAUUGUAGUUGUUUGUUUUGGUAUUUAUGUUAUAAUGAGGUCUUAAAAGGUUACUUGAAUUCUAGAUGUAUGUAGUAGGGCAUGUUGAUUAUAUAACCUAUGUUGAUAUUGGAAUUGAGUAUUCAGUUUUUGUGGCGCUGAAAUGGUGGUCAGCUUUGAUGUUUACUUUAGAAGUAUUUACCUGAUGGGUUUGACUUAUGUAUAAAAUGAUAUUGUUUAUGAGGAAGUGGCGAGUACGUUGAUUUGACAUGAAAUUUUGGAAUCAUUUUGAACAAUCAUACGUUUGUAAGGCAAUCGUAUUAUUUGUGAUUUUUGAGUGGUCUAAUUUCUUCAUUUUGAAAAGAGAAGAGAUAGUAAAUACAAAGUGCUUUCUCAAGAAUUGGAUUUGUUUGGUAUUCUGGAGAUAUGAAUAAAAAAAUACUUCACAACUUUUGAAUUCUAUUUGAUUUUUUUGGGUCUGUUUGGGAAGAUAGGCUGAGCUUAUUACAUAUGGUUUGUCCAAAUUUAGCUGAUAUCAUUGGUGUUCGUUUAUUUAUUUAUUUAUAUAAAUGUGGCGUUUGUCUCAUGAAUCAUGCGAGUCUUUAUUUUGGUGCUACUUCACAUUGAUUGCAUAUCACCUCUAUCCUUACAUCUUCUUUUGAAGCUCAAGAGAUACUUAAAGUUAAGUACAACUUAAAUGAUGAUUGGUGCCAAGUACGAUUAUUUCUUCCUCUUCUUUUUUUUUUUGUUUUUGUUUUAGUACACGAUUAUUUUUUUUCAAAUUAAAAUCCUUUGUUUACUUUCCUUUCUUUUUAAGUUGUUCACGGAAACAUUGUUGUGUGUUUCAGACGUAUUCUCCAAGAAAACCACGGAUGUCAGGAGAUCCUCUGUCUAAACAGUACAUUGCCUUUGACCUCAACGAAACUCGCAUUGGCUUACCUCUAAUAUCAAGACUUAGGUAUGAGCAAGUCUGCCAAAGUAAUAUAUUAUAUCAAUAAUUGUCAUGACUUGGUUUGUUCUAGAUUAUGUUCCAAAACAAUAACUUAUACAGAAAUAAGUAAUGAUAUAAUUUAAAUGUUAACAAUUUCAAUCUAUAUAUGUUUAAACUCUUUUCUUGAAACUAUAGAC